rfam:Picea glauca, whole genome shotgun sequence.
AAGUUGUUGCAGUUAAAAAGCUCGUAGUUGGAUCUUGGGUCAUAAAGGUUGGUCCGCCUAAUUGGUGUGCACCUGCCCUUCCGUCCCUUUUGUCGGUGGCAUGCUCCUGGCCUUAAUUGGUUGGGUCGCGGUUCCAACAUUGUUACAUUGAAAAAAUUAGAGUGCUCAAAGAAAACUUAUUCUCUAAAUACAUUAGCAUGGAAUAACUCGAUAGGAGUAUGUUCCUAUUGUGUUGGCCUUUGGGACUGGAGUAAUGAUUAAUAGGUGUUAUAAACCUAAUUUUCACUCAGCCUGCAUACUUGGCCUCUG